UUUAUAAAUAUUCAUUUUAUUCACAAUUAAAAAAUAAAAAAUAAUAUUAAAUACUCUUUUACAAAUUUGUUUAAGAUUUUAGAAAAGGUAAAUUAUUGUCAUAUAACCUAUUAAAAUUUUCUUCUCUUUAGAAUUUUAGAAACAAUAUUGCUAUCAAAUAAUUAUUUUUAGUUAUAAAUAAAUAUUUUCAAAAUUGCUAUUUUUACAAAUCGUAUGAAUACUAAUUUUAUACUUCUUUGUUAAUUAUAUAAUUUUUAGUAUCAUGUUCAUCAUCAAACACUCUCUUAAAAAUUAUAUCAAAUACAUUUUUACAAUUCUCUUUUGGUUAGGACUUAAAAAUAUUAUACAAAUUUCUUUUGUUUAGUAUUUUUUUUUUAUAAAAAAAAGGAAAACAACUAUCAAAUAUUUUUUUACAGUUUGUAGGAUUUUAGAAAACGAAAUUAAUAUUACAUACUGUUUUUGCAAUUAUAUUUUGUCUAGGAUUUAAAAAACAAAAUUCUAUCAAAUAACUAUUUCCAGUUAAUAUUGACUAUUUUUAAAAGUUGCAAUUUUUAAAAUUCGUUUUUACAAUUUUUAUUGUUAAUUGAAUAAUUGUUACUAUCAUGUUUAUCAUUAAAUUUUUGAAUUAAAAAUUACUGUUAACUAAAAUUUUACAAUUCUCUCUAGUAACGAUUUAAAAGAAAAAAAAAAAAAUCUUAAUUGGUUAAGAUGAGAAAAAAAAAUUCUUUUAGAAAUUUCUUUUAUUUAAUAUUUUAAGAAAAGAAGAAGUUAUUUUCACAUAAUGGAAGUUUUUAGGGGAAAUUUUACUUUUACACUUUGUUUGAUACCAUAAUUCAACUUUACCAUCACUCUAGAGACAUUUUCAUAAAUACCUAAAUCAUUAAUGGCCAAAUGACUAAACUAACCUUUUUCAAUUUAUCUCUGAUUUUUCCAAUCUCGUCUUCUUCGUCAAGCUUCGGUGCCAUCUUCAUCGAGUCUCGCCGUCGCCGUAUUCAAGAGGCGGCGCUGCUGCUCCUUCCUCCUGAACAGUGUUCUCUCUCCUCUUAUCUCUCAGCUCCGAUGAAUUCUCCCUCCAGCUCCCGCGAUGACGCGUCUUCAGCAAAUCCCGAUGGUGUCCUUCCUGCUUUCUUCUUCUGCACCGACGACUCAGACAGCUCAGCUCAACCAUGGCGUUCACCUAAGUUUGAAGAAUCCCUCAGUUGCACGUGGUAAUUCUCUUGGUUUGAUGUCUCCAGACCCUCCCGAACCACCAGAUCCGCCGGAUUUGGGAUCUGUCAUGGUGGAAUCAAAUCUUGUGACAGUCUCCUUUGAGUAUGAUCUUUCAUCUUCUAUGUAUGGCCUUGAUUUGCUUUAGGUUACAAUGGGGAUGGACUUGAGGGUUGUUCCGGCAGAGGAGUGGUGGGAAGAAUGAGGGAGAGAUUCUAGCCUCGAUGGUGAAAGUGACCUAGGCCUUAUGGUUACGGAUUUUCUCGAGAUGGGAGGUGGUGGAAGCGGUGGUGACCUAGGCCUUAUGGUUACGGAUUUUCCGGAUCCUUCUUACCUUUCCGAUAAGAUUCAGAAUAAACGUACAGCAAAGAACAUCAUUGAUUUUGUCAUCUGUACAUAGUUGCUAAUCACAUUCCAAUGGAUAGCACUUGCCUAGAGAAUUGUUUCCAGUGUGCUCUCUUCUGAUGCUUAUAAUGUUCUUGCAACUUCACACCCCUUUGUGGCUGAGGAUUUCCUCACAAUUUCAAGGCUCAUCAAAAUGGUGUAUGAUCACCUUUGUAGCCAAGUUUCUUGCUGCUCUUUAUGCCUUUAUUACUGCAGCAUGUUCGGGUAGCAGUUCACCGAGUGUCUCCUCUGAUUCCCGUGGCUUCAUCUCACCAAUUAGCAUUUUGUGAUGUUUCAAUUUUAAGUUGCUUAAGUGUUUUGUUUGCCUUUAUCUGUGUUUAUGUUAUCUGCUUAGCCUUUGAUGCAACAGUUUCCUUCUGUCAUUUUGGCUGUGUUAUUAUGUUUGCUAAACAAUGUCUCCAUUGAUAGAGCUUGAGUUUUAUUUAUAAAAUUUGGUUUGAUCAAAAAGAGAACGAGUAUAUCUGGAAAGCUUUCUAAAUUUCUUAUUAAAGUAUAAUUCAUUUAUAACAGUUUAUAAAGACAGUCUAUAAGGAUAUGUAUAAAAUAACUUGAACUUAGUUUUCUACAAGGCUUUAUAAGGAUUAUAUAAAUAAUUUAUAAAUGUUUGUAAAUCAUUUAUGAAAAUUUAUAAAUCUUUAUAAAUACUUAUAAAAUAUUUAUAAGGGUUUAUAAAAUAUUUAUGAAUAUAUAUAAACUAUUUAUAAAGGUUUAUAAAUCAGUUAUAAGAAUAUAUAAAAAUAUUUAUAAGGUGUUAUAAAAUAUUUAUAAGGAUUUGUAGAAAACUUUUGUCUAAAUUAUUAACUAGUUUUAAGGGAUUAUAAUUCAUUUAUGAGAAUGUAUUAAAACUUUUUAUAAGGGUCUAUAAAUCAUUUAUAAGAAUAUUUAAAAUUGUUGAAAGA